rnacentral:misc_RNA from 1 species
UCCGGUUUAUCACCGGCAGUCUCCUUUGAGUUCCCGCCAUUACGUGCUGGCAACAAAGGAUAAGGGUUGCGCUCGUUGCGGGACUUAACCCAACAUUUCACAACACGAGCUGACGACAGCCAUGCAGCACCUGUCUCAGAGUUCCCGAAGGCACUAAAGCAUCUCUGCUAAAUUCUCUGGAUGUCAAGAGUAGGUAAGGUUCUUCGCGUUGCAUCGAAUUAAACCACAUGCUCCACCGCUUGUGCGGGCCCCCGUCAAUUCCUUUGAGUUUUAGCCUUGCGGCCGUACUCCCCAGGCGGCGGACUUAAUGCGUUAGCUUCGGCACAGAGCUCAAUGAAGAGCCCCACACCUAGUCCGCACCGUUUACGGCCAGGACUAC